CUGUGUACGGCUGAGGUACAAAAACAGCAGAGAAAUGAUGUUUAUGUUCUUAAAGUUAAAUUUUUGAAUCAGGGAAAGCAGUGGCUCAGUCCAGCUCUGGAAUGGAAGCGUCCAGAUUGCAGAGAUAAUGAAGGAGGAGCCUGAACAGUUCCUGAAACCACUCGGAGCUGGAAUCCAGACUGAAGCAACGUUUCAAGUCUCAGCAAUUCCAACAGGAAGCAACUCUGGCUGCUGUGGGGAGGAAACCUCUGAGCUACUUCUCACGCCAUUGUUUCUGCAACACUCCUAAGUCACUGCAGUUCCCUUCCAGACAUACAGCCCCCUCCAACAACACUGAGGAAGCUCAUUCAUUCCAGCCGCGUUUUAUUUUAAAGUCACAGGCGCUUCUUCAUGUGCAACAACUUUUCUAAUCGAAUGUAAAGGUGACUGAUUCCCCUGAUGUACACUUUGCUUUCUGGUAAUCCAGUGUUACUGCCCCGCAUGUUAAUGCUCCUACAGUGCCCGGGGAGGCUCUUGUUUGUUAACCUCGGCCAGCCCAGCGCCUCUAUCCAACCCGCACCACUUUACACAAGGGCUGGGAGUCCCAAAAAGAUCCUUUCGACCAGUGGAAUUCGGCUAAUCGUCCAGGGAUCACAGUCUGCUGCUGUAGAUCCUGACAGUAAACACCACCCCUAAAUAAAAGUCUUGGGACUAAAGCAGGCACGAAAGAGAGUCACUGGAGUUGAGAAAGCCAACAACAUUGUACCCUAGUUAGUAAUGAACAUCAACAAUGAACCCAGUACCUUUGUUCUCACUUUUACAGAAUGUAUUGAAAUGACUUGCUUUUGUUUUAACAAUAAGAUGUCUGCUGUAUACCAGGAUUCACUU